rnacentral:rRNA from 1 species
CCCGUCGCACCUACCGAUUGAAUGGUCCGGUGAGGACUCGGGAUUGUGGUUUAGCUCCUUCAUUGGGGCCUGACUGCGAGAACUUGUCCGAACCUUAUCAUUUAGAGGAAGGUGAAGUCGUAACAAGGUUUCCGUAGGUGAACCUGCGGAAGGAUCAUUA